rnacentral:rRNA from 1 species
UACGUAGGGUGCGAGCGUUAAUCGGAAUUACUGGGCGUAAAGCGUGCGCAGGCGGUUUGUUAAGACAGGCGUGAAAUCCCCGGGCUCAACCUGGGAACGGCGCUUGUGACUGGCAGGCUAGAGUACGGCAGAGGGGGGUGGAAUUCCACGUGUAGCAGUGAAAUGCGUAGAGAUGUGGGAGGAACACCGAUGGCGAAGGCAGCCCCCUGGGCCGAUACUGACGCUCAUGCACGAAAGCGUGGGGAGCAAACAGG